UGAAACUUUGCUUGUAAGUUUUCCUUUGUUUACUUUGUAAUUUUUCUUAAGAUUGUCGUCGAUCGUCUUCCUUUAGGAGACAUUGCUGUGCACUUAUUUUGCAUUUGCAGAUGAGAGAUUACCUCCCCCACCGAUUGCCGAUAUUCGCAAAUAGGUAAGCGCAAUCUCUCCCACACAAUGGGAAUUCGCGAGUGGGUGCCCUUCCAUGAGAAGUUUGGGCGCAAGACUCUUACUGGUGAGUUGGCUUAUAGUUUUAAUUUGUUCCCUGCUUCAUAAUUUUCUUUAGAACUUUGUCGUUGUACGAUCUAAUCCCUUCUUAUUAACAGGUCGGGGAGGAAUGAGGAGGAUGAGGUCUUCUCCGCUCGCAUUCCGCCAACCGUUCCCCUCUACCCAUUUUGUAUCGAGGGUGGCUGCCUGGCUAGCGCCAAGACGGCCUGCACCUACAGUCGAUGCUGUGUGCUCAGAGGUUUUAACUGGAGAUUUUGACUCCUGCAGCCUGUUCCACGAGUGAAUCUUCCCGCGCUAGUAGUGGGGAGGCCUCAUCGAAGAGACGGAGGUUAGUGUUGGAAAAGGUUUCCCCGAUCGAAACUUCUUCGAGGGGGAUCCUUGCCCCGGCGUUGACCGGGGUCGGAGGUGGUACCAAUCCAACCGUGGAGACGACACCCAUUGUGAGUGUUCAAUGGGUUGAUAUGAUGGAGAGGCAGAGUUCCGAGGCUGCCAUUGCUAUUUUGGGAGGCCCUCCAACAUCGCCACCGACCGCACGCCCUCUUCGGCCAGUGAGAGGGGGAAGGCGUCAUGGUUGACAAUUAUGAGUCCGAGUUCGACAUUGAUCAUGAGGAUAUGAGGAUGUUCGAGGAGGGCUUUAACCGAACCGUAGUAGAAGCGGUAAGCCCUAUCGGAAUACUUGAAAUUCCAUCUGAGCUCAACCUAUUGCAUGAUACGGUGGACUUUAUGUUGCAGUUCGAUCUUCUAUGAUUUCCCGCUGAAAGAAGAGCUCUUCAGGAUGUUAGCGACUCCGAGUUGUCUCAUGGUG
rnacentral:lncRNA from 1 species